AUUGAACGCUGGCGGCAGGCUUAACACAUGCAAGUCGAACGAUGAUUAUCUAGCUUGCUAGAUAUGAUUAGUGGCGGACGGGUGAGUAACAUUUAGGAAUCUGCCUAGUAGUGGGGGAUAGCUCGGGGAAACUCGAAUUAAUACCGCAUACGACCUACGGGUGAAAGGGGGCGCAAGCUCUUGCUAUUAGAUGAGCCUAAAUCAGAUUAGCUAGUUGGUGGGGUAAAGGCCCACCAAGGCGACGAUCUGUAACUGGUCUGAGAGGAUGAUCAGUCACACCGGAACUGAGACACGGUCCGGACUCCUACGGGAGGCAGCAGUGGGGAAUAUUGGACAAUGGGGGCAACCCUGAUCCAGCCAUGCCGCGUGUGUGAAGAAGGCCUUUUGGUUGUAAAGCACUUUAAGCAGGGAGGAGAGGCUAAUGGUUAAUACCCAUUAGAUUAGACGUUACCUGCAGAAUAAGCACCGGCUAACUCUGUGCCAGCAGCCGCGGUAAUACAGAGGGUGCGAGCGUUAAUCGGAAUUACUGGGCGUAAAGCGAGUGUAGGUGGCUCAUUAAGUCACAUGUGAAAUCCCCGGGCUUAACCUGGGAACUGCAUGUGAUACUGGUGGUGCUAGAAUAUGUGAGAGGGAAGUAGAAUUCCAGGUGUAGCGGUGAAAUGCGUAGAGAUCUGGAGGAAUACCGAUGGCGAAGGCAGCUUCCUGGCAUAAUAUUGACACUGAGAUUCGAAAGCGUGGGUAGCAAACAGGAUUAGAUACCCUGGUAGUCCACGCCGUAAACGAUGUCUACUAGCCGUUGGGGUCCUUAAGACUUUAGUGGCGCAGUUAACGCGAUAAGUAGACCGCCUGGGGAGUACGGCCGCAAGGUUAAAACUCAAAUGAAUUGACGGGGGCCCGCACAAGCGGUGGAGCAUGUGGUUUAAUUCGAUGCAACGCGAAGAACCUUACCUGGUCUUGACAUAGUGAGAAUCCUGCAGAGAUGCGGGAGUGCCUUCGGGAAUUCACAUACAGGUGCUGCAUGGCUGUCGUCAGCUCGUGUCGUGAGAUGUUGGGUUAAGUCCCGCAACGAGCGCAACCCUUUUCCUUAUUUGCCAGUGGGUUAAGCCGGGAACUUUAAGGAUACUGCCAGUGACAAACUGGAGGAAGGCGGGGACGACGUCAAGUCAUCAUGGCCCUUACGACCAGGGCUACACACGUGCUACAAUGGUAGGUACAGAGGGUUGCUACACAGCGAUGUGAUGCUAAUCUCAAAAAGCCUAUCGUAGUCCGGACUGGAGUCUGCAACUCGACUCCAUGAAGUCGGAAUCGCUAGUAAUCGCAGAUCAGAAUGCUGCGGUGAAUACGUUCCCGGGCCU
rnacentral:rRNA from 1 species